rnacentral:lncRNA from 1 species
AGAGGGAGGGUGCCUUCCCUCAGAAGAUGAAAUUUGAUCGUCUGUCUAUGUCUCUCUUCUCAGAACUUUCUUCUCUGAACCUAGUCCAGAUUUAAAUUUUGCAGCUCUGCCUGGCAGGAUCAGGCUGUCAGAGCAGCGGACUAAGUUUUAACUAGUUUUUAAUCACUUGGAUUGGCAUGCCUGUGUGCCUGUGGAAAGGGAUUCGCUGUGGGCAGGAGGACAGAAUGUUCUGAUUGGCAAGGCCUGAGCCAGGCACCAUGAGUCCCCUGAUUGGAUUCAAAACUGAGACGUUUUCAGGCCACCUGGUCAAGAAUUGCUGAAGGGCAUCAAAUAAAACCAUCUGGGACC